rnacentral:rRNA from 1 species
GACGAACGCUGGCGGCGUGCUUAACACAUGCAAGUCGAACGGAAAGGCCCUGCUUUUGUUGUGUUCUCUAGUGUCGAACGGGUGCGUAACACGUGAGUAACCUGCCCUUGACUUUGGGAUAACUUCAGGCAACUUGGGCUAAUACCUGAUAGGAGCUCCUGCUGCAUUCUGGGGGUUGGAAAUUUUCGGCGGUUGGGGAUGGACUCGCGGCUUAUCAGCGUGUUGGUGGGGUAGUGGCUUACCAAGGCUUUGACGGGUAGCCUGCCUGAGAGGGUGACCGGGCAGAUUGGGACGGAGAGACGGCCCAGACUCCUACGGGAGGGAGCAGUGGGGAAUAGUGCACAAUGGGCGGAAGCCUGAUGCAGCAACGCCGCGUGCGGGAUGACGGCAUUCGGGUUGUAAACAGAUUUCGCAUGUGACGAAGCGUGAGUGACGGUAAUGGGUAAAGAAGCACCGGCUAACUACGUG